UCUGAGAUGCUUUUGUCACAUGAAACUAAUAGUAGCACAUAAAAACAUAUAUUGUGUCCAUUAAAUAAUAUUUAUCUCUCACCAGAUGGGGCACUUUUUCUGUUGCUCUUACCAUCACGAAACCGAACACAAUAUAUAUAUAUAUAUAUAUAUAUAUAUAUAUAUAUAUAUAUAUAUAUGUAUAUAUAUAUAUA